GAAAUAUUUUUCUAAGCUUCUAACUUAGUCCCCAAGAGUUUAAACUUUUAUAUUUCU
rnacentral:tRNA from 1 species